GACGAACGCUGGCGGCGUGCUUAACACAUGCAAGUCGAACGGAAAGGCCCCUUUGGGGGUACUCGAGUGGCGAACGGGUGAGUAACACGUGAGUAACCUGCCCUUGACUUCGGGAUAACUUCAGGAAACUGGGGCUAAUCCCGGAUAGGAAUCCUUGCUGCAUGGUGGGGGUUGGAAAGCUUCGGCGGUUUUGGAUGGACUCGCGGCUUAUCAGCUUGUUGGUGGGGUAGUGGCUUACCAAGGCUUUGACGGGUAGCCGGCCUGAGAGGGCGACCGGCCACAUUGGGACUGAGAUACGGCCCAGACUCCUACGGGAGGCAGCAGUGGGGAAUAUUGCACAAUGGGCGGAAGCCUGAUGCAGCAACGCCGCGUGCGGGAGGACGGCCUUCGGGUUGUAAACCGCUUUCAGCAGGGGCGAAGCUUGUGGUGACGGUACCUGCAGAAGAAGCACCGGCUAACUACGUG
rnacentral:rRNA from 1 species